GAAGCAUAUUAUCUGUGAAAGGGUACCUUAUAAUAUUAAGAGUCUUAUAAUAAAUGAAUAAUUUAAUUAGAGCAAUAAAAUAUUCAAGUUGUUGAACCAAUUUACAUUUUCUCAGAAUACCUGAUAUUUUUGUAAGAAUAACAUAGAUUUCUACCAAUGAAAAAAACCCACCCCAGAAUGAAAAAAUAAUAAUGUAUGGGUAAGCUCUAUAUGUUUUGUCGUUAUUUAUGUAUAUAUUAUAAGAAAUAUAAGUAUGUAUAUUUAUGUAUGUAUGUAUUAUGUAUGUAUGGUAUGUUAUUGUAUUAUAUUUGGUUGUUGUUGUUAAAGUAGCACCGCCCACAAUCUCUCUGCUUUGCCUAAAGGUUGACUGUUAGAGAAUGCCUCAUGGCAUUAAGUCCGCCUUUUGUACGAUAAGGUUUUGUUUUGUGCAAUAAAGAUUAAAUAAAUAAAACAUAGUGUCAUUCCAAGCAACACAUGAGCAAUCACGUGAUAAAACCGUGAGCAUCUACAUGUGUUAAAACAUUUUUAGUGAUACGCCGAAUGCAUAGAGAAAUUCGUUCUUGUUAUAGGAAAGAGGGCCUCUCGCGCGGUGUACAUAUUUUAUUGACCCCGCGCACUACACAUGAGCGGCGAGCGUGAGAUGAAUCCGGAAAUAUGAGAGAUGCUGGGAUAUUUUCGCAAGUUACUACAAGAGGUUGGAUUUCUUUGAUGGCUGACUCAGGUGGGAAGGAAAGUGAAGACAUAAUAACACCCUGCUGAGCAACUUUAAACCAAUACGCAUCGACUCAACAUUCAUACUUAUUUAUUACCUAUAAGAUAUUAUGUAGCUGGAAAAUAAUUAAAAAUCGAAAAAUGUAAUCAAGUGUUGCAAGGUUAUGUUCUAUAAAAAUUGCCUACAUUUUAUACCGUCAAUGAAAAUCGCCAUAAAUAAGUAUGACACUUACCUACUUAUUACCAAGGUGAUUAACAGGUACAUAAUAAAAAUAAUUAACUAUUUUAAGUGGCGCAAUUAAAUAGCUACUAAGUACGUACGUUAUAAACGUUUAUCAAUUUUGCACAAAUAAAAUGUACUCGUAAAGGUACUACUGCGGUAUCUACCCAAUGAAUGUUUUAGAACGUAUAAUGCUUGGUAAUAUUAAUAAAAUAUACAGUU